AACGCACCUUGCGCUCCUUGGUAUUCCGAGGAGCAUGCCUGUUUGAGUGUCAUUAAAUUCUCAACCUUUGUUAACUUUUUGGUUAGCAAAUGGCUUGGAUGUGGGGGUAUGCAGGUUUCUCUAUUGAAAUUAGCUCCCCUGAAAUACAUUAGCUGGUUGCCUUGUGUAAACUUGUCUAUUGGUGUGAUAAUUAUCUACGCCGUGGACUAUUUGCCGUUUUUAGCACUGCUUAUAAUCGUCUGUUCAUUCGGACAAUAUAUGACAAUUUGACCUCAAAUCAGGUAGGACUACCCGCUGAACUUAA
rnacentral:ncRNA from 2 species